CAUCAUCUCCUCUCUCCUCCUUCAAUAGCGAUAAUAAGUUUUUUUUCUGUCAGAAAAAAAGUCUUUGAAUCUAUUAACAUAAAAUUUCAAGUUACUUUCUGCUUAAGUCGAUCACAGUUACCAGAUAGAAUUCAAGGCGAUGAAAUUUUCAAAUUUGAAGGAACAAAACAAUUUGAAAGAUUAGGGACGAGGGAGAGAAGAGAGAGCAAAUGGGUUAUUUUUUGCGUUUUUCUUUUUUAAUAUUUUCUUCCUCCUUUUGUAUGCUCUUCCAAUAUAAAAAGGGUAAUAUUUAAUUAAUUAAAUUUUGGGCAUUUUUGUCAAUUGUUUAAAAGUUUAAUAUUAUUUGUGUUAAAAAUAUAAUUUGUAUGUUUAAAAGUUUAUUGAUUUUUUUGGUAAUUAAGUCUUUUUUAAAAUUUUAAAAUAAAAAAAAUAUAUUUGAUAAUUUUUGUAUUAAUAUUUAAUUUUAAUAAUUUAACAUAUAAUAAUUAUUUAUAAGGAUUUAUACAUAUUUAAUACGUCAAAAUAAGUAUUUAUAUAAAUUUUAUACGAAUUGGGUACUUGAUGUAGUAAAUUGUGAAUUUGGUGGUACUUGAUGUAACAUAAGUGUUAUUAGCCCGUAUUUUAUACUGUCAAACCGUAUACAAUUCUUAUUUGACAGAAAAAUUAGGUGUUCAGACUAUUUUUGGUCGAAUUUGAAAUUGGGGGCUAAAUUGUAUCAAAUUAGACACUUGAUAUAGCAAGUGUAAACCCAAAUUCUUUGAGGGACUAAUUAUAAAUAUAAUGAUACUUCAUAUAGUAAAUUGUAUUUAGCUCUAUUUUUAUUAAUAAUAAUACAAAAUAAUACAAUAUGUUUAAGUUUGUCAUCAUAAUUACAUGAGUUUUGUUGCAUAUAUAUGUCGACAAAUUUAUCUCGCCGACAUAUGUGUAUAUCUAAAAUAGGUAAAAAAAUAAUAAUUUCACCCUAAUUUAUUUUAUCUUAUUUCUUAUAGUUUUAUGUUAAUUGGUCACAAUUCAAUUUAGUCAUAGAUUUAUCGAUAAAUAAAUUAUUUCCCUAGUUAAACUAUCAUAUCACUACUACUAAAAAGAUAAUUUAUUAUUUUUAUAAACAAAAAAAAAUCUUAUUAAUAUUUUAAUUUUAUAAAUGUCUUUCUACGUACAUAAUUAACGGAUAGAGUAUAUAACAUCAUUUUCUUGAUCCAAAGUUUUUUAGGAUGGAAGAGUAUUAUAGGGUUUUGUUAGGUACUGUGAUAUUAGAUAGAAUUAUAAGAGCUUCCACUUAUUAUAAAUUUAUUUUAAAAAAAUUACACUAAUAUUUAUUUGUAUAACUAACAACCAAAAUAUCCAUCACAAAUUAAUAUUCACAAUAUAUAUUAUUUUUCUAUAUUAUAAGAUCAUUUACUUGCACAAUAUGAAGGGAAUAGAACAAUUUUAGACCCAAUUCGUAUGGCAUGGCUCAUCAAGAGUUGUUAGGGUAAUCCGAAUUUUGAAAUUCUCACAAUUUCAUCUUUUCAUUGAAGAUACAGUCACAUAUUAUAACAUUAAAAUUUUAAUUAACUAACUAAUUUCCAACUCAGACUGACACAUCAUGAUAAUUUUCUCUCUCCUCUAUCAUAUCCUUAAAUCUGGAUGAAUAAGUAUUUGCCGACAGGUCUAAUGAACCAAAAAAUUGGACCGGUCCCAAUUUAUUUAUUUAUUUUGCUCUUUUUUGUGACCUCAAAAAAUAUAUAUUAUUUAUUUUAACCGAAAUUUUUAUAGAAUACAGUGUUUUUAGGUAUAAUUUAGAUACAUAUACAAAUUUAGUUGUACAGUCUGUACAACCAUGUUCUUGUAUAUAUAUUCAAAUUACGGUUAAAACACUAGAUUCUGUAAAAAUUCCAAUUGAAAUAAAUAAUAUAUAUUUUUUUGAAAGUCACCAAAAAUAAAAAAUAUAUAAAAAAUGUCCAGUAAUCCGGUCCCUCUAGAAGGACUCAGUUUGGAUAUUUCCUCGUUGAAACUGCUGUCAUCAUUUUCUCUAUCUACACAGUUAUGCAGCUUCAGUAUCAUUGACAUGGAUGUUGUAUUUGAGGACUCCUAAUGGAUAUUUCCUUUUUUGUGGUGUUUGUAUGUAAAUAAAAAACCAAUUAAAGGCCAAUAAUCGUACGUAGAAAAACGAACCCCACAGAAUCUACACAAUAAAAAACUCAUAAUCUCUAGGGGUUGCAAGACAGUAAUGUUACUCAAAAUUCCAGGUUUUAAAAUUUAAGAAACAUAUUAUAAAAUUCCUCAAUUCUGCUCAUGAUAUAAAGUAGUUAAAUUCAAAUUUUUCCUGGAGUGGACCUUUGAUUAUUCAACCCAUGAUAAUCAUGAGAUUGGGAGUUCGAGUCUUGGCAUGCUAAGAUAGAAUGUGUGAGUGUGUUAGUUACAUUAGCAGAAAAAAUAAAUUCCUGGAGUUGCUUGAUGGGGGAACUAAACAACUAAACAAACUAUAUAUUCAUGGUGCAUAAUAGUAUUAAUUUCUACGCACUAGGUGGAGCCUAACAAAUAUUUUGAACCCACAUAUGUAUCAGUCCGUUUUCUAUGCGGAUGGUCCGCAUGCGGAUCACCUUUAACGACGGAUAAAUUGUCGUUAAAUCCGUCACUAUAGGGUCUGAACUGGACUAUAUAUAAUGACGGUUCUAGGCUAUAUAUAUGGUGACGACAAGUUUAGUGACGAUUUUGUCCGUCAUUAAAGGUGAUCCGCAUGCGGACCACCUUUAGCGACGGAUAAAUUGUGGCUAAACCCGUCACCACAGUGUCUGAACUGGGUUAUAUAUAGUGACGGUUCUAAACUAUAUAUAUGGCGACGACAAGUUUAGUGACGGUUUUGUCUGUCAUUAAAGAUGGUCAUCAUGCGGACCACCCCGUAAGAAGCUCUCUGCAUAUGUAUAGUACAACAUCAACUAAUUAUAAUUUGACAUAUCAUUUUAGUUGUCUUUCGACUUUGUCGGGAAAAAAAUUGAAUAGGAGAGAUGGUGUGAGUUGGCUAAUGACUUGGUUAUAUUAUAAUUAUUAGUAAUAAUAAUAAUGACAUGGUAUUAUCUCAACACUUGAACUUAAAUGAAUGGCCUAGAUUUUAAGAACUCCAAAAGUUAAAUUACCCUUGAAAUUCUAGAGGAGCCGGAUAUUUCCCGGCCGUCGGAAAAAAGACCUAGUCGUCAUCGCAACACUUGAGCUGUUGUUAUAAGUUGGUCAAGCCUUCGCCGGUGCGGACAGAAGGAUGGUUUGGAUUUGUAGUUAGGAAUGUUGUCGGUGACAAUAUAUUUUGUUCUUGGAGAAAGUGUAGAUCACCGUACGUGCAUCCUAAAUUUUGUAAAGGAAAUCGGGUGGUGGUCAGUGUCUUCCCUGUGAGGAAUUAUAUCUCAUAUAUUUCUCGGAUCAUGGCUAGCUACAAAUAAACAACUUCAUAAAUUAUUGCAAUCAUCGUUUUCUUAAAAGCACAUUAUAUUUCCAAGGAAAUUUUUUAAUAUACGUAGUACAAAGGAGUAGUCA
rnacentral:lncRNA from 1 species